GAUUAAGUUAUUAAGGGCGCACGGUGGAUGCCUUGGCACUAGAAGCCGAUGAAGGACGUUACUAACGACGAUAUGCUUUGGGGAGCUGUAAGUAAGCUUUGAUCCAGAGAUUUCCGAAUGGGGAAACCCAGCAUGAGUUAUGUCAUGUUAUCGAUAUGUGAAUACAUAGCAUAUCAGAAGGCACACCCGGAGAACUGAAACAUCUUAGUACCCGGAGGAAGAGAAAGAAAAUUCGAUUCCCUUAGUAGCGGCGAGCGAAAUGGGAAGAGCCCAAACCAACAAGCUUGCUUGUUGGGGUUGUAGGACACUCUAUACGGAGUUACAAAGGACGACAUUAGACGAAUCAUCUGGAAAGAUGAAUCAAAGAAGGUAAUAAUCCUGUAGUCGAAAAUGUUGUCUCUCUUGAGUGGAUCCUGAGUACGACGGAGCACGUGAAAUUCCGUCGGAAUCUGGGAGGACCAUCUCCUAAGGCUAAAUACUCUCUAGUGACCGAUAGUGAACCAGUACCGUGAGGGAAAGGUGAAAAGCACCCCGGAAGGGGAGUGAAAUAGAACCUGAAACCGUGUGCUUACAAGUAGUCAGAGCCCGUUAAUGGGUGAUGGCGUGCCUUUUGUAGAAUGAACCGGCGAGUUACGAUUUGAUGCAAGGUUAAGCAGUAAAUGUGGAGCCGUAGCGAAAGCGAGUCUGAAUAGGGCGUUUAGUAUUUGGUCGUAGACCCGAAACCAGGUGAUCUACCCUUGGUCAGGUUGAAGUUCAGGUAACACUGAAUGGAGGACCGAACCGACUUACGUUGAAAAGUGAGCGGAUGAACUGAGGGUAGCGGAGAAAUUCCAAUCGAACCUGGAGAUAGCUGGUUCUCUCCGAAAUAGCUUUAGGGCUAGCCUCAAGUGAUGAUUAUUGGAGGUAGAGCACUGUUUGGACGAGGGGCCCCUCUCGGGUUACCGAAUUCAGACAAACUCCGAAUGCCAAUUAAUUUAACUUGGGAGUCAGAACAUGGGUGAUAAGGUCCGUGUUCGAAAGGGAAACAGCCCAGACCACCAGCUAAGGUCCCAAAAUAUAUGUUAAGUGGAAAAGGAUGUGGCGUUGCCCAGACAACUAGGAUGUUGGCUUAGAAGCAGCCAUCAUUUAAAGAGUGCGUAAUAGCUCACUAGUCGAGUGACACUGCGCCGAAAAUGUACCGGGGCUAAACAUAUUACCGAAGCUGUGGAUUGUCCUUUGGACAAUGGUAGGAGAGCGUUCUAAGGGCGUUGAAGCAUGAUCGUAAGGACAUGUGGAGCGCUUAGAAGUGAGAAUGCCGGUGUGAGUAGCGAAAGACGGGUGAGAAUCCCGUCCACCGAUUGACUAAGGUUUCCAGAGGAAGGCUCGUCCGCUCUGGGUUAGUCGGGUCCUAAGCUGAGGCCGACAGGCGUAGGCGAUGGAUAACAGGUUGAUAUUCCUGUACCACCUAUAAUCGUUUUAAUCGAUGGGGGGACGCAGUAGGAUAGGCGAAGCGUGCGAUUGGAUUGCACGUCUAAGCAGUAAGGCUGAGUAUUAGGCAAAUCCGGUACUCGUUAAGGCUGAGCUGUGAUGGGGAGAAGACAUUGUGUCUUCGAGUCGUUGAUUUCACACUGCCGAGAAAAGCCUCUAGAUAGAAAAUAGGUGCCCGUACCGCAAACCGACACAGGUAGUCAAGAUGAGAAUUCUAAGGUGAGCGAGCGAACUCUCGUUAAGGAACUCGGCAAAAUGACCCCGUAACUUCGGGAGAAGGGGUGCUCUUUAGGGUUAACGCCCAGAAGAGCCGCAGUGAAUAGGCCCAAGCGACUGUUUAUCAAAAACACAGGUCUCUGCUAAACCGUAAGGUGAUGUAUAGGGGCUGACGCCUGCCCGGUGCUGGAAGGUUAAGAGGAGUGGUUAGCUUCUGCGAAGCUACGAAUCGAAGCCCCAGUAAACGGCGGCCGUAACUAUAACGGUCCUAAGGUAGCGAAAUUCCUUGUCGGGUAAGUUCCGACCCGCACGAAAGGCGUAACGAUUUGGGCACUGUCUCAACGAGAGACUCGGUGAAAUCAUAGUACCUGUGAAGAUGCAGGUUACCCGCGACAGGACGGAAAGACCCCGUGGAGCUUUACUGUAGCCUGAUAUUGAAAUUCGGCACAGCUUGUACAGGAUAGGUAGGAGCCUUUGAAACGUGAGCGCUAGCUUACGUGGAGGCGCUGGUGGGAUACUACCCUAGCUGUGUUGGCUUUCUAACCCGCACCACUUAUCGUGGUGGGAGACAGUGUCAGGCGGGCAGUUUGACUGGGGCGGUCGCCUCCUAAAAGGUAACGGAGGCGCUCAAAGGUUCCCUCAGAAUGGUUGGAAAUCAUUCAUAGAGUGUAAAGGCAUAAGGGAGCUUGACUGCGAGACCUACAAGUCGAGCAGGGUCGAAAGACGGACUUAGUGAUCCGGUGGUUCCGCAUGGAAGGGCCAUCGCUCAACGGAUAAAAGCUACCCCGGGGAUAACAGGCUUAUCUCCCCCAAGAGUUCACAUCGACGGGGAGGUUUGGCACCUCGAUGUCGGCUCAUCGCAUCCUGGGGCUGUAGUCGGUCCCAAGGGUUGGGCUGUUCGCCCAUUAAAGCGGUACGCGAGCUGGGUUCAGAACGUCGUGAGACAGUUCGGUCCCUAUCCGUCGUGGGCGUAGGAAAUUUGAGAGGAGCUGUCCUUAGUACGAGAGGACCGGGAUGGACAUACCUCUGGUGUACCAGUUGUCGUGCCAACGGCAUAGCUGGGUAGCUAUGUGUGGACGGGAUAAGUGCUGAAAGCAUCUAAGCAUGAAGCCCCCCUCAAGAUGAGAUUUCCCAACUUCGGUUAUAAGAUC
rnacentral:rRNA from 1 species